GCUGGCGGCGUGCCUAAUACAUGCAAGUCGAGCGAACGGACGAGAAGCUUGCUUCUCUGAUGUUAGCGGCGGACGGGUGAGUAACACGUGGAUAACCUACCUAUAAGACUGGGAUAACUUCGGGAAACCGGAGCUAAUACCGGAUAAUAUUUUGAACCGCAUGGUUCAAAAGUGAAAGGCGGUCUUGCUGUCACUUAUAGAUGGAUCCGCGCUGCAUUAGCUAGUUGGUAAGGUAACGGCUUACCAAGGCAACGAUGCAUAGCCGACCUGAGAGGGUGAUCGGCCACACUGGAACUGAGACACGGUCCAGACUCCUACGGGAGGCAGCAGUAGGGAAUCUUCCGCAAUGGGCGAAAGCCUGACGGAGCAACGCCGCGUGAGUGAUGAAGGUCUUCGGAUCGUAAAACUCUGUUAUUAGGGAAGAACAUAUGUGUAAGUAACUGUGCACAUCUUGACGGUACCUAAUCAGAAAGCCACGGCUAACUACGUGCCAGCAGCCGCGGUAAUACGUAGGUGGCAAGCGUUAUCCGGAAUUAUUGGGCGUAAAGCGCGCGUAGGCGGUUUUUUAAGUCUGAUGUGAAAGCCCACGGCUCAACCGUGGAGGGUCAUUGGAAACUGGAAAACUUGAGUGCAGAAGAGGAAAGUGGAAUUCCAUGUGUAGCGGUGAAAUGCGCAGAGAUAUGGAGGAACACCAGUGGCGAAGGCGACUUUCUGGUCUGUAACUGACGCUGAUGUGCGAAAGCG
rnacentral:rRNA from 1 species